CUUCUGUGUGGUGGAGGCAGACAGCGAGGAGAUAAGCCCUAAUGUACUCUGUGGCUUUGGGCCUUCCAAAGGCAUUUCUAGCUGUUUCCCUCACUGCUUAGAGUGCUAACUCUGUUCUUUCUUUGGGCUGGGAAUAUAACUUCACGGCGGCACUUGCCUGGCAUGUGAAAGGCCCUGGGCUCGAUUUUCAGCCCAGGAAGGGAAAUGGACAUCUCAGGGCUGACUGGCUGGGGCACGGUGCUUCCGGUGGCCUGGUGAGCAAGAGCAGACUGGCCUUGCCAGAGUCCCUUUCUUUAUUAUCUUUUGCCCGUAUUUGGGGCAACAAAUGGCGAACACAGUGAAAAGUGAUGCUAGAGAUUGGGGGUAAGAAUUACCUUUCUAAAAUUAUGGUGUUUAUUUACAUCUGGCUGGGCUCCUCUCUUAUAAUGAAAUGGCCGGGCUCUGUUCUGUAUAUGAGACUCUACCUAAGGCUGAAUGAUUGUCAAGUUUCUGGAAGCAACUGUGAAAGAUGCCAGGAUGCUCUUGGUCAUCAAAAUAUGAUCUGAUUUGAAAAGUGUGGUGUUUUCUCUCUCUCUCUCUCUCUCUCUCUGCCGUGUGUGUGUGUGUGUGUGUGUGUGUGUACACAAUAUGGUGCCCCCUUCCAUCAUGUGGGUACAGGAACUGAGUUCUUGUUCUCAGACUUUGCAGCAAGUCCCUAUACCUGAGCCAUCUCCCUGGCCACUACAAACGUGAUUUAAACACAAAAGACUCCCUCUUCCUCCCGCUGCCUCAGAGAAAUCACUAUCCCUGACUUGGUUUGUUCUAAAGAGAUUACCAGGGCUCCUUGAGCAGAGUCUAGAGUUGUAUUAAGGCUCUGCCUUAAGUGGUGGCCAUUAAGCACGGGGUUGGGGGAUGUUUGUGGAGGGGUUGUUCCUAAACUGGCGGUGCUAGCGCUGCCUGCACUAAGUGAGGCACCAGCUUCUUCGCAUGGGGAGUGUCUCUUCAGCUGGGAACGGGGCUCGACCCUGGGCUGUGCUCGGUUCUCUGUCUGUUCCAGAAUGCAGGAGACUUUGCAGAAGGUAAAAGAUGAAGGAAAUCAUGUUUGCUGGGGGUAGGAAUGGGGACAGGGCUGUCUCCUCAGAGACACCCUGCCCAUCAGGGUCUCUGAGUGCAUGUUAGCCAUAGUGGAUUCAUAGGAACCUGGCCCUCAAGUCUAAAGGUUGAUCAUGCACAGUACAUGUUGUUAUGUAUACAACCAGGAGGUAUCUAGGGAGCUGUACCAGACCCCCUCUUUUUAUAAAAUAAUUAAAAUAUAAUCGUGUCAUUCCCCGACCUUUGCUCCCUCCACCCUGGGUUACAUCAGGCCUCUUUACCCAGGGUACUAACUCAGCCUCUCAGGUCUGCCCGGCUCGUGGAGAAUGGUCCUGAGGAGGGAGGAAGUGGAGAGUUGGCACACCCUGCUGCUUCACUUUGAAAUGCUGUGGAAGUGUGCUUUUGGCUUCCUGUCCCCUGUGCUGUGCAGCAGAGGGACACCAUGAGGUCAGCAGUGGUGUGGACUGUCUGUCUGUCCUCUUGUACUGAGUGGCGCUGAUGGCCGCUUUGUUUUGUGACCCCCUAGGACCUGAAGAUGGAGUAGUGAGAAAGGCAUCCCUCAGGAUUCCGAGCACCUUUCGCUGUGGACUCCAGCCCCACCCGAGGCUGCAUGUGGAGCUGAGGAAACUGACCCACCGCUUGCUUUCCUGGGAGCCCCUUUCUCUCCUAAUUCAUGAGCCAGCAGGAUGCGGUCGCUGCGCUUUCAGAACGCCUGCUCAUAGCUGCGUACAAAGGCCAAACAGAGAAUGUGGUUCAGCUCAUCAACAAGGGUGCCAAGGUAGCCGUUACCAAGGUAACACGGAAAAAAACGCCAUAGCUGUUCUCUGGGAAUAGCUUACCUCUUGUUGCCUGCAGAACUGUUGUUUGGUUCAUAGUUUUAAAAGAACUGGCUUUUGGUAAAGGGAUGAAGGCUUGGGAGGGGACACAAAGCACUGAAAAUCACUUUUGACUUUUCUCCCACCCACUUCUAUAGCCAGUGGACAAUUUGUCUCUUUGGAGAAGAAGUUCCUUCACAGAGACUAACUGAACAGUGAGCAGGGGGUGGAGGGUGGGAAUCAUAUUAGACAGGCCUCCUAGCAAGGUGGACCAGCCUUUGGUCAGAAAGCCCCCACUGUGGUCUCACUAUCCGAUCUAGCAGCUUGGACCAGAUGCCUGUCAUUACUACUGUGGGGCUUUGUAAGACAUUGCUCAUCCCUUAUCAACUGGCAGUACAAUGGCAGGUCAGGGAACGGUUGAUUGAAGGCAGUUUUAAACCCCAAGAAAGGUAGGUCCUGGCCAGGUGUAUUAGUGCCAGCAUUAAGUUUGAAGACAGCCUGGACUACAUAGAUAAUCUC
rnacentral:lncRNA from 1 species